ensembl:snRNA U6 U6 spliceosomal RNA
GUGCUUGCUUUGGCAGUACAUAUACUAAAACUAGAACAAUAUAGAGAUUAGUAUGGCCCCUGUGCAAUGAUGACAUGCAAAUUCAUGAUGCAUUUCAUCUUUUU